rnacentral:rRNA from 1 species
CUUUCAGCAAUGCCUGCCCAGUGCGAUCAAAAGUCGUAAACGGCCGCCCUAGCGUGAGGGUGCUAAGGUAGCGAAAUUCCUUGCCUUUUAAUUGUAGGCCUGCAUGAAUGGUUUGACGAGGGCUUAACUGUCUCUAGUUUGUAAGUCUAAAUUGGACUAAAGGUGAAGAUACCUUUAUAAAAAAGUCAGACAAGAAGACCCCGUGCAACUUUUAAAGUCAACUUGUUUAGGAGUUUCAGAUUUUUAGGUGGGGCGCCUAUUAAGUAAUAUUAACCUUAGUGUACGAUAAAACUUUCAAGUAUAGACCCGACAAUGUCGAUCAUAGGAGAAGUUACGCCGGGGAUAACAGGCUAAUCCACUAGUAGAGAACGUAUUGGCUAGUGGGAUUGGCACCUCGAUGUUGAAUCAGGGAUGAUAUCUCUAAGGCGUAGAAGCUUUGGAAGUG